UCAGCAUACAAGUAUGACUUCACAGCAAACCUGAGUCCUAGCUGCGAACAGUCUUCUCUACAUGGCCAACCACGGGGACAGCCGGUGCCCAAGACCAAACAAGCUCAGAACAGUAGAAUGGGGAGAAGCCCAAAGCCAGGAGAACGAUGUGUUGUCAAAUGGACAAACAAGUCAAAAUUCCUUAAAGACUGAGAUCAUACACUGUCUGGAGUUUUUCUUCACCAACCCUGAGAAUCUCCCUGGUUUUCUAUCUUGAUGCUUUUAACACGAACAAGAGAAGAGAUUAAAACAAGAUGCAAAGCUCCGGUGAGAAGGACUGAAGUCCUUUCCCAGCUGAUCAGUGAACUAACAGAUGGAGAGAAGGUAGAAGAAAAGCCCUCCUUUCCUGUAGCCCAAUGACUGACUACCAGCAAACGAAAAAUAACUCUGGUAAUGUUUUCCCUGCUAAUUCUUGGCACAGUUUAUAUGAGUUGCUCAUCAGGUAAAAAUCAUUUUUUUUUCAUGAGCACUGAAACAGUAUUCAAGGUGACUUAACUACUGAAGUGACUUACUAUUCACACUCAUUUCAUUACCACUUUGUGCAUUGUAGCUGUAUUUAUGUCUCCUAGCUUAAGCUUAGAGAAGGUAUGUGCAUUGUAGUAUAACAUGGGGGAAGCACAGGCACAAAUUAACAGCACACAAGUUACUCCAUAAAAAGCAA